UACGUAGGUGGCAAGCGUUAUCCGGAAUUAUUGGGCGUAAAGCGCGCGCAGGUGGUUUCUUAAGUCUGAUGUGAAAGCCCACGGCUCAACCGUGGAGGGUCAUUGGAAACUGGGAGACUUGAGUGCAGAAGAGGAAAGUGGAAUUCCAUGUGUAGCGGUGAAAUGCGUAGAGAUAUGGAGGAACACCGGUGGCGAAAGCGGCUCUCUGGACUGUAACUGACACUGAGGCUCGAAAGCGUGGGUAGCAAACAGG
rnacentral:rRNA from 1 species